AUUGACAGCAGCUGAAUGACACCGACAUGUGAUGUGCAAGUUAGGAAGGCUGAUGUGAUAACAGACCUGAUGGCGUCCCCAGAGAAUCCUGUCAUACCUGCUGCAGAAACCAUGUCUACGGGAGAAUCCCAUGCACCACAGCAGGAAGAGGGUGAUGAGGAAGAUGAAGAUGAAGGACAGAAAUUUGAAUUUGAUGGUAGCGAGGAAGAAGAUCACACUCCAGGAGAGGAGUCUUCUGAAAAGAAGAUGGAAAGUAACCUGCAUGCAGGACCAUCGAUAACUUCACCAGAAUUCAGCGGAGAGCCCACUGCAGGACUGAGGGACACGCUCACCCAGGACAUCAGCCCAGAAUUGGAAGUCAGCAAACCUCCAAAGGGGGGCUCUUCUUCUACUGCACCACAGCCAUCACCUGACUGCCAGAGAAGGGACAGCAUAUGUGAAGGCAGCGCUGAGCCGACGACAGAGAGUCCCGAGGUCAUUUACGACGAUGUACCCGAUGAGAGUUUCCUUUCUCCAGACGAAGAUGAGCUGAUCUACGAGGAUGUGCAGCGAUCCGAGGACGGGAUCGAGACAGGCAAUGGAUGGAGCUCCAGCGAGUUUGAGAGCUACGACGAGCAGUCGGACAACGAGAGCAAGCUGCCCACUCGCAGUAAGCAGCUCUCCCCAGACGUGCGGCGACUGAAGGAGCGCUGUGCCAAGACCAGGCGUGAGCUGGCCAUGCGGCUGGGGGGCCGCGAUGUCACACAGAUCAAACAGAGUUACGAUGCCAAGGUGCAGCAGCUAAUGAAAGCAGCCAGAAACGGUACCAAGGAUGGACUGGAAAAGACCCGGCUGGCCAUGAUGCGCAAAGUCUCCUUCCUGCAGAAAAAGGAGAAUUCAGAAGACGUGGAGGAUGACGCCGGGUACCUGGACGUGAUGGUGUCGGAUCUGAAGCACCCGCCUGCGGAGCUGGGCCCUAUGCCAGAAGGACUUAGCAGCCAGCAGGUCGUCAGACGGCAUAUCCUGGGCUCCAUUGUCCAGAGCGAGCGAAGCUAUCUUGAGUCCCUGAAGAGGAUCCUGCAGGAGUACCAGAAGCCUUUGGUGGAGGCCGAGCCCCGCAUCCUGAGCCUCAGGAAGAUCCGGCCCGUUUUCUACCGGCUGCGGGAGAUCUGCCAGUGCCACUCCAUGUUCCAGAUUGCACUGGCAUCACGCGUGGCCGAAUGGGACCACAGCGAGAAGAUCGGUGACCUCUUCGUGGCCUCUUUUUCCAAGUCGAUGGUGCUCGACGUGUACAGUGAUUACGUCAAUAACUUCACCAACGCCAUGGCCCUUAUUAAAAAAGCCUGCAUAUCCAAACCGGCUUUUCUGGAGUUUCUCAAGAAGAAGCAGGCCUCCAGUGCGGAUAGGAUCACCCUCUACGGCCUGAUGGUGAAGCCCAUCCAGCGUUUCCCCCAGUUCAUCCUCCUGCUGCAGGACAUGCUGAAGAACACUCCGAAAGGCCACCCUGACCGGCUGCCCCUGCAGCUGGCCCUCACUGAGCUGGAGACGCUGGCCGAGAAGCUGAACGAGCAGAAGCGGGUGGCCGACCAGGUGUCUGAGAUCCAGCAGUUGGCCCGCAGCGUCAGUGACCGGAACCUCGGCAAGCUGCUGAACUCGGACCAGAGGCAGCUGAUCCUCUGUGAGACGCUCAUCGAGACCGUGUACGGGGAAAAAGGGCAGGUCCUCAAAUCCAAGGAGCGCAAGGUCUUCCUCCUGAACGACACGCUCAUCUGCGCCAACAUCAACAUCAAGGGUCCGUCUGACAUCAGCAGUCUGGUUCCGGUGGGUCCGAAGUACACGGUGAAGUGGAGCGCCCCUCUCCUGCAGGUGAAGGUGGUGGAAGUUGGCCAGGACGCGUCGGAGACCCAAGAGACCCUCUUCCAGCACAGCGGGACCAAGAGGGCCAGCAACACCAACAUCUCAGGAAAGGUCUUCCUUGGACCUCCUCGACUCUUCCAGGAGCUGCAGGAGUUAGAGCAUGACCUCUCCGUGGUGGAGGAGAUCACACUGCUUGUGGGAACAUUGCAAGGAGCGUACCAGAACCUGAAUACGACGGUGGGGCAGGACUGGUGUCUUGCUCUCCAGAGGCUCAUCCGCAUGAAGGAGGACGAGAUCCAGAGUGCCAACAAGUGCCGCCUUCGUCUGCUGGUCCCAGGGAAACCAGACAAGUCAGGACAUCCCGUCAGAUUCAUGGUGGUCUUCAACACUCCCAACCCCCUCAGCAAGAUCUCCUGGGUGAAUCGUCUGCAUCUGGCCAAGGUUGCCCAGCGAGAGGAGAACUCGCCAGGCUGGGUCUGUGCAGAGGAUGAUGGGAAGACAAAGACCCCUUUUUGUUGCCCGCUGCUUGCCUGUCGUGUGAGUGUUUUCACCACAAAGGCCCAGGAUCAGAAGCUGCUGGCUGCCCUUCACAACCCGGUCCAGUGCACCCUGCUUGGCUUCUCAGCAGCCAGUACGUCACUGCCACAGGGCUACUUGUGGGUGGCCAGCGGGGGAGCCGCCACCCAGGGCCAAGUGGCGAUCUUCUCGCUUAACAGGCCCACCCCCCGCUCCGUGAAGUCCUUCCAGGUGGGGGCACCUGUCCUGUGUCUGGAGUACGUCUCAGAGUUCGGUCAGCCAGACGAGGUCGAGGAGGGCAUCAAUGAGAGCCCAUUCCGGAUUGGCAACACCAUUUGUCUGGGGCUCCAAGACGGCAGAAUCCUGGUGUACGGCAGUGUGGACACCACUGCACAGUGCUUGCUGACCUUCCGUGACCCCGAAGGCUGCCCUGUUCUGUGCCUGAAACACCUGCAUGACCUCCUGUUCGCCGGCCUGGUGGAUGGAAGGGUGAUAGUUUACAGCCGAAAGAACGGAGAGGAACUCUGGGACCCGGAGUCGGGCAGACGGGUUUCCGUGGGGUCGGAGCCGGUCCGCACACUGCUGGCACUGGAAGACUGCGUUUGGGCCAGCUGUGCCAACCGGGUCACUGUCAUAGAGGGCUCCAACCUGGACACUCGGAGUUUUGAGGUGCACCCUGACGCGAGGGUGAGCGUGGCACAUAUGGUGCUGGCGGGGGGUGGCGUCUGGAUGGCGUUCUCUGAGAGCUCCUCCAUCCGCCUGUUUCACACGGAGACGCUGGAGCACCUGCAGGAGAUCAACAUCUCUGCUCGCUCCGCCUUCCUUAAUCCAGGUCCGGAGACAGUGCGUGUGACCAGCUUGCUGAUCUGCCAAGGGCUGCUGUGGGUGGGCACCGCUCAGGGCGUCAUCGUCACGCUGCCCAUACCCAGGUUGGAGGGCAUCCCCAAAAUAACAGGGAAGGGGAUGACUUCCCUGAACGCACACAGAGGCCCGGUCGACUUUCUGGUGGCCACCACCAGCACCCUGUCCCCGGAGCUGCUGAAACGGGACUCCGACAUGGACGGGCAGGACUCGGCCAGCGGCGGGGAAGACCGCGCCGACUCCUCGUCGCAGGAAUCCCUGCAGCAGGUCAACGGCUCCCCCAGGCGCGAUGCCAAGUCCAGGGGAAUCCUGCUGCAGUACCGGCUGCGGUCCACAGCCCAGCUCCCGGGGAGGCUGCUUUCGGCUCGGCCCGAGGGCUCGUCCGACUCCUCGCUGGAGUCCCUGGAGCACGGCCCAGAGGACGGCUCCAUCUAUGAGCUGAGCGACGACCCCGAGGUGUGGGUGCGAGGACGGCCCUCGGCCCGGGAUGGCAGCCGGAGGGACAAGGUCACCUCGGCCGCCGUCGUCUCAGGGGGCAGGGGCUUCCGGAGGCUGGUGGCAGAGGACUGGCCGGACGGCGGAGAGACGGCCGAGAGCACCCUCAUGGUGUGGCAGCUUCCCCUCACAGUCUGAUGAAAGGGGUGGGGCAGAGGGAGUCAUGUGACCGUGCUCCCCCUGGUGGAGAGUGGAUGCAGCGUGCUGCAGGAACCUUACCCCUGAAUCCCUACUCUGCCCAGGAGACUCCACACUGGUGUCUUCCACGCCUGUUUCAAUACAGAUCCACACAAACUUUUGACAUGCUCACAGAAUGCUGUAUCUACAGGGACUGCCCUGCUGUACGAGAUGUUCUCUCUCUGUCGAAACUCUGUAUACAUAUUUAAACUAUACUGUACUGUUUUUUGGGUGGGGCUGGGAGAUUCCAUAAGCCACUAAGAACUCAUUCCAGGAAACACUCUGGACCUUGUUAUCAAUCUGUUGUCAGCCACAUGUGUUCCUGCAUUCAUUAUUGGAAAUAAUCGCACUACGCUGUAGCAGUCGAACUGGUUUAUCUUGCGUCUUUGUCAGGAGAGGAUGAACCUCGCAGAAAAGGAGCGUGGCAUUUAAGAAGUAACGGUACAGUCUGGUUGACAAAUAACUUCCACCUCCGACUCAUUUGCGGGAGCCCAGCAAAUGUCUUCCUGCAUUUCCUCUACUGAAUCCUUUAUCAUUCCAAACAUAACAGACUAUAACAGACAUAUGAAGGAAGCUGUGCUUUCGUUUGGCUCCGCCACGAACAAAGGAGGGCCGCCAUAAUGAGGGAAGCAGUCAUGGAAUUUUAUGGUGUGUUUCAGAGUGAAUAGGCUGCAGAAGAGAUGCUGAGAAAGGACGAUCACCUGGUGCACUGUACCCUGCCUCCAGCGCCGUCCCUGUUGUUACGGCUACGUUCAUUUGACCAAUCGUCAGCGUACAAAUCACGUUUAAGGUCCUGCCAGAUGAAAUUGUUGAUGAGCCCAGAGAGUAUUAUCAUUUGUCAUGAAUAUAAAUGAGCAACUCUGAUGGCGGGAAUGCGACCCGCUGCUCUGCCAGCUAGAAGACGUUUCCAUUCUGGUACCUGUUUUUUUGGUUGAUAAUUUGGUGUCACGAGGGCCGUUAUUAUUAUGGUUUUCCCCCUGCGACGGCCUGUGUUGUUUAUAAUCUCAGCGUCCUGGUGCUUUUUCUUAAUGUCACUUAUGGAACAUGUGAAGGCACCCAGGGACGCUCGCUUCUCGCGGCGGACGGCGAGCCGGCCACCUCCGCCACAUUGCUGAAAAACCCCACUUUAUGCUCUUCUGAAUGGCUUGGGGGUACAAUUUGCUUCAAUUCUGGCAGCAGGAAAGAAUCAAGACAUGACUGUUCUAGACAUAAACCCAGAUAGCAGCCUGCCUACAGGAUAAGAAACGGGAGCUUUCCAAGAUGUGUUACAAACAUUUAUGUCAUUUAUUUAGAGUAACAAAAUGUCUGCAAGAAGCCAAGUUGCCAUAAUUUCACCUCAUUUAAAUGGCUAUAUAUAAAUGUAUAUACAGUAACUGUGGAUAAAACUGCAAGGGGGCCAUCAAA